UUCGUAUGACCGGGGGUUCCGGCCUGAGAGGGUGAACGGACACACUGGAACUGAGACACGGUCCAGACUCCUACGGGAGGCAGCAGUAGGGAAUAUUGCUCAAUGGGGGAAACCCUGAAGCAGCAACGCCGCGUGGAGGAUGAAGGUUUUAGGAUUGUAAACUCCUUUUGUUAGAGAAGAUAAUGACGGUAUCUAACGAAUAAGCACCGGCUAACUCCGUGCCAGCAGCCGCGGUAAUACGGAGGGUGCAAGCGUUACUCGGAAUCACUGGGCGUAAAGAGCGCGUAGGCGGGAUAGUCAGUCAGGUGUGAAAUCCUAUGGCUUAACCAUAGAACUGCAUUUGAAACUACUAUUCUAGAGUGUGGGAGAGGUAGGUGGAAUUCUUGGUGUGGGGGGUAAAAUCA
rnacentral:rRNA from 1 species